UGUUGCUGCGUUGGAUUGAUCCC
rnacentral:misc_RNA from 1 species